rnacentral:tRNA from 1 species
GGUCAGAUGGCCGAGUGGUUAAGGCGCUAGCUUCAGGUGCUAGUGGAGCAAUCCUCGUGGGUUCGAGUCCCACUCUGAUCA